CACAACAACGAGCGGAGCGCCAGCUGGAUAAAGCACAGCAGGUUGCACCAUGUCGAGCCCAUUGAAGCUGAUCGUGAGCGCCGAUUCCAACCGUGGGGGGCGGCGCUACAUGGAGAACAUCACAGAGGAGUCACGGAGCUUUUGAGGCUCCGAGCCACGUGGGAAUCCACAACAGCGUGAGGCGGUGCCACUCACAGGUGAGACUCGGGGAUAUGUGAUUUCUAAUCGAUAGCCAUCCGUCGGUUAACCCAUCGCAACUGCUGAGUCUGUCACGCGACUUCCUCCUUCC